rnacentral:tRNA from 1 species
GUGGGUUGGCUCAGUGGUUAGAGUGUAGGUCUCAUAACCGAAAGGUUGCUGGAUCGAAUCCCGCUAGAGGCUUACG